AAGCUUUCAUCUUUUCUGCAAUCCGCUCUCUACAAAGCUACACAUAAAGCUUCUUCUGUGUUUCACAUGUAUAUAGGAAUCUGUGGAUUGGCUUUUUUGUCCGUUCACAGAGCCGUUUUAUGCGAUUAUAUUU